CCUGUGCCUCAUGUCAUAUGAACUUCUUAGUUUAGUUUAUAAGCCUGGGCUUUACCCAUAGCUAUUUGUGAGUUGGUGAACGUGCAGUGGAUGAUCUGCGUGUAAUUCUCCUGCCGUUUGAAAUGGCCUUUGUCAUUGGCUGUUUUGUCAGCUGGUGUAUGCUGCCUUUCGCCUGAUGACCGCUGGGAUCGGUU